AGAUGCGAUCAUACCAGCACUAAAGCACCGGAUCCAAUCAGAACUGCGAAGUUAAGCGUGCUUGGGAGAGAGUAUUACUAGGAUGGGUGACCUCCUGGGAAGUCCUCGUGUUGCAUUCCA
rnacentral:rRNA from 1 species